AUUGAACGCUGGCGGCAUGCCUUACACAUGCAAGUCGAACGGUAACAGGUCUUCGGAUGCUGACGAGUGGCGAACGGGUGAGUAAUACAUCGGAACGUGCCUAGUAGUGGGGGAUAACUACUCGAAAGAGUGGCUAAUACCGCAUGAGAUCUACGGAUGAAAGCAGGGGAUCGCAAGACCUUGUGCUACUAGAGCGGCCGAUGGCAGAUUAGGUAGUUGGUGGGAUAAAAGCUUACCAAGCCGACGAUCUGUAGCUGGUCUGAGAGGACGAUCUGCCAAACUGGAACGUAGACACGGCCCAGACUCCUACGGGAGGCAGCAGUGGGGAAUUUUGGACAAUGGGCGCAAGCCUGAUCCAGCAAUGCCGCGUGCAGGAUGAAGGCCUUCGGGUUGUAAACUGCUUUUGUACGGAACGAAAAGCCCCGGGUUAAUACCCUGGGGUCAUGACGGUACCGUAAGAAUAAGCACCGGCUAACUACGUGCCAGCCGCCGCGGUAA
rnacentral:rRNA from 1 species